UUGUUAGAUUUUUAAGUUUAAAGUUUAUCAUAUAAUAGAAGAAGAAGAAGAAUUACGAUAGAAAAAAAGAACAAGAAGAAUUAGGUAGACAUUUUAUGUGAGGAAGUCAAAGAAGAAGCACGUGUGGCUUAUAGAUUAAGAAAGUUAAAGAUUGAGAAACGAUUGAAAAAGGUAAAAUAAGAUAAAUAAGUGAAAAAGGGAAUACAAUUUAAUUUAUGUCAUAUUUUUUAUAGAAUUAGUGCAAGCAAAGAAGAGAGUAGUUAGAGGAGAGGCGGCGUUGAAGCCCUAAAGUUAAAAUAGAGUAAGUAGUCUAAGCAAAUGAUAAAGCGCCCCUCUUCUAAAGCCCCAAUGUAUGUAAUUUGUAGGUUAAAACAACCGCCAUCUCCGUGGAUAAUAAAUGUGCACGAAGCACACUUAACAAGAAAGUAACAUUCUUUUAACUCUAUUUUGGAGUUAUUAUUGUGCGAAGAUGUUGAGGACGCCCCCGGGAGGUGAGAACAAAGGUGAGACGGCGGGACAGGAGUCUCCGCUAAAAGAUGAGAAGUUUCGGGGAUUUAGCGAGGAAUCCAUUGGCAAAGAGAAUGUUCAGGAGUUGAAGAUGAUCUCUGCGGAGAAGAGUAUACUAGACCUAGAAAUCACAGAGACAAGAAUGAAGUUGCGUCUUGCGCAGCUAGAGAAGCAAAAGGCCAUGGAAAUCCUUCACAUGAAGACCUCCACACCGAUUCCCCACAAAAAGACUCCCGUUGUGGCGUAUAGAGUCGACGAUGAUUUUGAUGAUGAUGAGCCGGUUGGGAAAGUGCAAGAGGGGCCCCGGUUGGAAGAGAAGUCCCGGUUGGAAGAGAAGCCCCGGCUGGAAGAAAAGCCAGCCCCAGUUGUUCCAGAAGUUCCCAGGCCGACAGAGAGGUACGUGUCAGACAUGCAGAUGUUUAUGGCGCGACAGACGUUGACGAGAGAGGUGAAGCAAUUCGACGGAAGCUUCCGUGAAUGGCCAGGCUUCAUCAAUUGGUGGCGAAGCACCUCUGCUGCAUGUGCUUUUACACCCACAGAAGAUAUUACGCGAUUGGACAAGUGCCUCAAGGGUGACGCCAGAGAAGCCGUGCAAUUCCUUUUGUACGACAGCAAGAAUGUACCGCGUAUCCUAGAUGUACUUGAGAAGAGAUUUGGACGUCCCGAAUUCCUUGUGAUGUCUAUGCUAGAGAAAGUCAGGGAGCUUCCUGCAGUUAGAGAAGAGGACCCUGAAUCAGUGAUGAAGUUUGCGAGUGCAGUGGAGAAUCUGAUGGCAUCCUUGGAGAUUAUGGGACGUGCGAGCUACAAAGAGAAUCCCCACUUGAUUUGGGAAAUUGUCGAGAAGCUUCCUACAAAUAUGAAGAUUCAGUGGUCAGAAGUAGAUACAAGUAGUGGGUUCGGAGAUUUGGAUGUGCUAGUGAAGUUCCUGAACAAGAAGGCUGAGGCCGCAAUGAAGCGCAUCAUGCAAUCCAGAGAUAAGAUGUCCACUGAGAAGUCACCAGAAAAAGGGAAGCAAAAUCAGAGGAGUGGGAAAACGCAUAAAGUGAUGACUACGACAGAAGAUAAGAAGAAGACGUGCAAUAUUUGCGAUGAGGAAGGCCACUUCGCAAAUAAUUGUCCACAUCUAGUGCAAGCGGCGCUCGAAGAUCGUCGCAAAUUGAUCAUGAAUAGGAGUCUGUGCUUCUUGUGCCUGAUGAAAGGACAUCCAGCAGCAGAUUGCCGCCGAACGUCGAGGUGUUCAAUAGAUGGUUGUGGGAAGAAGCAUCAUGAGUUGCUACACACGCCGACAGAGAGACCACAGCCUACACCAGGCCCCUCUACCGCCCCGCGGGAUGAGAUAGUGCCACAUGUGAACACCACAAUGUACUCGUACUCAACUGCAAAGAAUAAGAUUCUCAUGAAGAUUAUUCCGGUGAUUGUGACUGGGCCUCAGGGCACAGUAAGGACGUUUGCAUUCUUGGACGAUGGAUCCUCAAUCACGAUGAUCAAGGCCAGCUUGGCGAGAAAGAUGGGUCUGUCCGGGCCGGUGCGGCCACUAGUGUAUCAGGGAGCGAAUGCUGCGUCACAGUUGGAGAAAGAUUCUGAAAUAGUAGAGUUCAGGGUGAAGGGAACGUUUGAUCGCGCAAAGGAGUUUACAGUGAAGGGUGCUCGUACAGUAGCAGUGAUGUCUUUGCCGAAACAGACCACCAAUGUGACGGCUCUUGCGCAAGACUGGAGUUAUUUGGCUCAGCGUCCUGUUGAGCCCAUGCAAAAUGCAGAGCCUGAGAUUCUCAUUGGAGUGGAUAAUGUUGCCCUAAUCACCGCUAGAGAAGUCAUUCAUGGUGCUUGGAAUGCGCCAUAUUUGAUCAGGACGUGGCUUGGAUGGAUAGUCAUGGGUAAAAUUGGACGCAGUCCGGAAACCCCCAUGGAGUAUGCGUGCACUGCAAUUGAAGAAGUGGGUGAGAUUUGCGAUGUGAACAAUUCGUCAUCCGCUAUUGAGGACUUUGGUGUGAAGCACACAGUCGAGAAUGCAGUGCCUAGAGAGGAUAAGAGUUUUACAAUUAUGGAGUUGGCUACAGACGUGAUAAAAGAUAGUAGAUUCGAAGAAAGUAAUUUAUGGAAAAAUGAGCAGCCCCCUGAGGUGUCAGAAGACCGCCCAGUCGUGAUGAUUUGCCCGCUCGAGCUCGAGCACAAGCUGGACGAGGACCCAGAGUUGACCCAGGAGCACUGCGAGAAGAUGACGGAGCAUGUCCAGGAUGGAUACUUGCAGCCGUUUAGUGAAGAUGAUAAGAAGUUGUCAAAGCCGGAAGUGUGUAUCUCACCCACACUUGCCGUGAAUGUGAAGAUUGACAACAAUGAGAUGUUGAAUGAGAAGCAUCCGGAAGCCAUCCAGGAGAUUCUCAAUUGUUGUGACGAUUACCUCGAAAUUCAUGACACUCCGGAUGAGGCCAAGCAGUUGGUGCGGGGAGUCAUAAAAGUGCAAAGUGCAGAAGAUUUUCGCAUGGUAAAUUGGUGUACAAGUGAUGUGAAAGUGUUGGAUGAUCUACCAGCCGAUUAUUCAUAUAAAGACGAAGUGAAGUUUGAAGACAGUUCGUUCGAUAAGGCGAUCACUGUACGACAGAUGUUUGACGGUGACAUGUUUACUUUUUGUGCAAAUUUCCACCGUGUACCACCCGAUAUUCUUUAUGGUGAAAAGACACCCACGAUGCGAGAGCUUCUCCGGCUAGUCAUGUCAAUAUUUGGUCCUCUGGGAGAUAUUGGCAUGUUCGUAGUGAAAGGAAGGAUGAUCCUACAGGAGAUUCGUCGUGCAAAGAUUGGAUGGAGCCCUGAAGAUAGUGGAGAGUUGUGCUGUCAGUGGCUAAAGUUUGUGAAAUUGAAAGACAUUGAAAAAGUUCGAGAAGUCUAUUUGCGAGUUAUUCAUCCAGAGGGAGUAGUUGUCGAGUGUCUGAUAGUUUGCACGCGCGUGGCACCGACCAAAAAGGUGAAAAUUCCCCGUCUGGAGCUGCAGGACGUAGUUUUGAAUACGCAUUUAGGCGAAUGUUUGGAGGAUACGCUUGAGAUGCAGGUCAGUGACAGUGAAUGGUCAACAGAGAAGGAGCAGAAAGAAGUGAUCGAUGAGCCCGAGAUGCUGCCAGCAGUAGAAAAAGUUUGUGAGGUUAUCCGGAAACCCAUGCUUCCGGACGUGAUGAGAUUCUUUGAUUGGUGGCGCAAGCUGAUGGAAAUGGCGCGAGUGGGAUUUUGUACCUUGCGUUGGUUCAAAAAGCAUCGUGAGAGAAGAAUCAGUGGCGAGAAUAACGUGGGGGAGCCCCCACUGAUUGAGCUGGAAGACAUUGCUUGGGCAAAGAAGGAAAGAAUCAAAGAAGUACGACGUGGAUACGUGAAGAUGAAAGCUGCAGUGUGGUGUACAUGGACGAUAGAUCAGUUUUUCCCGAAUCGUCCUGCACACACACAUCUGGGAUUGGUCAGUGAAGCUGUGAGACGCCGUCAGAAGAAGCGCUGGGAUGAUAUCUUCAGCUUGCUGGCUAGACGAGCCGUAUGUUUGAAGAUUACGACCUAUUGGGUAGCUGACAGCGCCGUCGCAGCAAUCCGGCGAUUCUUGGACCGCCGCGGGAAGAUUGAAGCAGUACGUUACGACGGUGAGAGGAAGUUUGAAAGAUUCAUGGGAAAGUGGAAGAAAAAGCAGCAGCCAAACAGUGAUGGAGAAGCAGUGUCGAUCAUGAAUAGAUAGAAGCAAGAAGACUGGCUGUAAAGUAUUGUGCAAGUGAUGAACCCCCUGAUUUGGGUGCUUCGCGCACCGUGGGGGAGAAAUGUUAGAUUUUUAAGUUUAAAGUUUAUCAUAUAAUAGAAGAAGAAGAAGAAUUACGAUAGAAAAAAAGAACAAGAAGAAUUAGGUAGACAUUUUAUGUGAGGAAGUCAAAGAAGAAGCACGUGUGGCUUAUAGAUUAAGAAAGUUAAAGAUUGAGAAACGAUUGAAAAAGAAUUAGUGCAAGCAAAGAAGAGAGUAGUUAGAGGAGAGGCGGCGUUGAAGCCCUAAAGUUAAAAUAGAGUAAGUAGUCUAAGCAAAUGAUAAAGCGCCCCUCUUCUAAAGCCCCAAUGUAUGUAAUUUGUAGGUUAAAACAACCGCCAUCUCCGUGGAUAAUAAAUGUGCACGAAGCACACUUAACAAGAAA